rnacentral:rRNA from 1 species
UAGGGAAUCUUCGGCAAUGGGGGCAACCCUGACCGAGCAACGCCGCGUGAGUGAAGAAGGUUUUCGGAUCGUAAAGCUCUGUUGUAAGUCAAGAACGGGUGUGAGAGUGGAAAGUUCACACUGUGACGGUAGCUUACCAGAAAGGGACGGCUAACUACGUGCCGAGCAGCCGCGGUAAUACGUAGGUCCCGAGCGUUGUCCGGAUUUAUUGGGCGUAAAGCGAGCGCAGGCGGUUUGAUAAGUCUGAAGUUAAAGGCUGUGGCUCAACCAUAGUUCGCUUUGGAAACUGUCAAACUUGAGUGCAGAAGGGGAGAGUGGAAUUCCAUGUGUAGCGGUGAAAUGCGUAGAUAUAUGGAGGAACACCGGUGGCGAAAGCGGCCCUCUGGUCUGUAACUGACGCUGAGGCUCGAAAGCGUGGGGAGCGAACAGGAUUAGAUACCCUGGUAG